GUUAAGUGGAAAAGGAUGUGGUGUUGCCCAGACAACUAGGAUGUUGGCUUAGAAGCAGCCAUCAUUUAAAGAGUGCGUAAUAGCUCACUAGUCGAGUGACACUGCGCCGAAAAUGUACCGGGGCUAAACAUAUUACCGAAGCUGUGGAUUGUCCUUUGGACAAUGGUAGGAGAGCGUUCUAAGGGCGUUGAAGCAUGAUCGUAAGGACAUGUGGAGCGCUUAGAAGUGAGAAUGCCGGUGUGAGUAGCGAAAGACGGGUGAGAAUCCCGUCCGCCGAUUGACUAAGGUUUCCAGAGGAAGGCUCGUCCGCUCUGGGUUAGUCGGGGCCUAAGCUGAGGCCGACAGGC
rnacentral:rRNA from 1 species